AGUGAACGCUGGCGGUAGGCCUAACACAUGCAAGUCGAACGGCAGCACAGUAAGAGCUUGCUCUUACGGGUGGCGAGUGGCGGACGGGUGAGGAAUACAUCGGAAUCUACUUUUUCGUGGGGGAUAACGUAGGGAAACUUACGCUAAUACCGCAUACGACCUACGGGUGAAAGCAGGGGAUCUUCGGACCUUGCGCGAUUGAAUGAGCCGAUGUCGGAUUAGCUAGUUGGCGGGGUAAAGGCCCACCAAGGCGACGAUCCGUAGCUGGUCUGAGAGGAUGAGCGGCAACACUGGGAAUGAGACACGGUCCAGACUCCGACGGGAGGCAGCAGUGGGGAAUAUUGGACAAUGGGCGCAAGCCUGAUCCAGCCAUACCGCGGAGGUGAAGAAGGCCUGCGGGUUGUAAAGCCCUUUUGUUGGGAAAGAAAAGCAGCAGGUUAAUACCCCGCUGUUCUGACGGUACCCAAAGAAUAAGCACCGGCUAACUUCGUG
rnacentral:rRNA from 1 species